GGAUCUACUACGACUGAUGACACUGAUGACGCUGACAGAGAGAAUCUACUUUGAGAAGUUGAUGAAUCGUGAUGCACAAUAAUGACAUUAAAAUUAUUGUGCCAUGGAAUGAACUUGACAAACUGUGUUUUUUUCUCUUGCAUGACUCCAUGGGGAGAACCAAUCCCACUUGGACACGGAGGGCAUGCCUUUACAUGCACUGCACUCCCUCUAAUUGCUUGGGAAAAUACUUUUUGCUCCCCACCCUCCAGAUGACAUCACUUCGGAGACCCGCUCUGGAACUCUGCUCCGGGUUCUGGAAACAAGGGUGAAAACCACAGAUGUGACGUGCGUGAAACAUAUUGUGUGAGGAACAGUUCCCAAGAGAGAUGCAGAUGUCUGCUCUCAUAUGACUCCCAACAGCUCCAACACCACCACAGAGGCCUCGGACCUCAUCUCCUCUGGUCCACAUCGUCAGCGAGGGUUGAAGCAGGGACCAGAGUCGUGAGGGGGCGCAAGUCUGUACAUUCACCUGCUGUGUGUCUGUCGGGGGCGGCUCCAGCCUGGGGGAGACUCCUCAGUGUCAGGCUGCCAGCCCCCCCCCCCCUCUCUGAGGCGUCACCCUG